GCCCUCGUAGCUUAACGGAUAAAGUAGCGGUCUUCGGAACCGUAGAUGGAGGUUCGAUUCCUCCCGAGGGCA
rnacentral:tRNA from 1 species